rnacentral:lncRNA from 10 species
CUCCUGACCUCAAGUGAUCCGCCCAUCUCGGCCCACCAAAGUGCUGGGAUUUCAGGUGUGAGCCACCACGCCCGGCCGAUGAAUGGAUUUUAAUAAAAUAGUAUGAAAACUUCAUUAUUAUGGUUUCUGAUUCCACAUUGCAACUAACCAUUAAAUGUUACAGGUUGAGCUUCCAUAAUCUAAAAAUCCAAAAUCCAAAAUGCUCCAAGAUGUGAAAUUUUUUGAGAACCAACAUGAUGCCACACCUGGAAAAAUUCCUCACCUGACCUCAUGUGAUGAGUCACAGUCAAUUCAGUGAAAACUCUUUCGUAUACAAAACUAUCUCAAAUAUUAUAUAAAAAUUACUUUCAGACUAUAUGAGUAAGCUGUAUAUGAAACAAAUAAAUUUUGUGUUUAGACUUGGAUCUCAUCCUCGAGGUAUCUCAUUAUGCAUAUGCAAAUAUAUCAAAAUGGAAAAUGUUCGAAAUCUGAACACUUCUGGUUCCAAGCAUCUCAAAUAAGGGAUACUCAACCUGCACACUAAUAGGUAGUGUAGCAUCAAAGAAAAAUAUCCACAAUUAUCUUGAAAGGCUAUUUAAAUGAUCCUCCCUUUCCCAGCUAUUUAUCUGUGUGACACUGGGUUUUCUUCAUGUUCUUCAACCAAAAUAACACAUCACCAUUGACUGAAUACAGAAGCGGAUGUGAGGGAUAUCUUUUAUUAGCUCAGACAUUGAAGAGAUUUGUAAAAAUAUCAAACAAAGCUACUAUUCUAACUAAAUUUUCUUUUAUUUUAGAAAAUAUAGUCCCAGAACUUAAGUAAAAUUAAAAAAUAUAUAUAUAUAUAGUUUAAGGAAUGUCAUAUCUGUUAUUGUGCAAUGGGUCUAUUAUUAUUUCUUAUUUUAUUUUAUUUUAUUUUAUUUUAUUUUAAGACAGUCUCACUCUGUCACUCAGGCUGGAGUGCAUUGGCACAAUCUCGGCUCACUGCAACCUCUGCCUCCCGGGUUCAAGCGAUUCUCCUGCAUCAGCCUCCUUAGUAGCUGGGACUACAGGCACCCGCCACCAUGCUUGGCAAAUAUUUUUGUAUUUUUCGUGGAGAUGGGGUUUCACCAUGUUGGCCAGGCUGGUCUCAAACUCCUGACCUCAAAUGAUCCUCCCACCUUGGCCUCCCAAAGUGCUGGGAUUUCAGGCAUGAGCCACCGCACCCGGCCCAGUUCUUUUCUUUUUUUGAAACAGGAUCUGUCUCACAUUGUCGUCUAGGGUGGAGUGCGGUGGAUCACGGCUCACUGCAGCCUUAACCUCCUGGGGGUCAAGUGAUCCUGCUACCCCAGCUUCCUAAGUGGCUGAAACUACAGAUGAGAAGCCAAAGCGAAGAAGACAGGCUUCAGGCCUAGACUGCCUGGGCCCAAGGCUGAGCUCAGCCACAUCCUCACUGUUGAGACUGGGCAGGGGUCACAAGCAUCACUCAAACCGUCUUCAUUUCUGAAUCUUUCUCGUGGUGCUUAGCAUGGUGUUUUGCAGGCAGUAGAUUCUUAAUAAGUAUUUGUGCAAUUGGAAACUUCAAAUUUCUACCUGUAUAGGGAUGUGGAACCAUAAGGAGGCAUAGCAUGGGAGACACAGGACGUUUAUGAGGCAGCACAGAAAGUCAAGCUGUUGGAGAAACUGGAAGUGGUGUGUGAAGUGUCUUUCAGAAGAGAUGGUGUCAGAAUGGACACCAUAUAUGACCUGAGGAAACAGAAGGAUAAACUGUUGGAGUUCUAUGCCGAAAGUGAUGAAAAUAAGUUAAUGAUAAAAAGAAAAACAAUGCUUAAGGCUAAAAAUGAAGAUCUCGAUUGUGUAUUGAAAGAAUGAAUUGGGAGGCCGGGCGCAGUGGCUCACGCCUGUAAUCCCAACACUUU